UACGAAGGGGGCUAGCGUUGCUCGGAAUUACUGGGCGUAAAGGGCGCGUAGGCGGCACUGUGAGUCAGGCGUGAAAGUCCUGGGCUCAACCUGGGAACUGCGCUUGAUACGGCAGAGCUAGAGGAUGGAAGAGGCUCGCGGAAUUCCCAGUGUAGAGGUGAAAUUCGUAGAUAUUGGGAAGAACACCGGUGGCGAAGGCGGCGAGCUGGUCCAUUACUGACGCUGAGGCGCGACAGCGUGGGGAGCAAACAGG
rnacentral:rRNA from 1 species